UCUUUUGGGAGGACAUACGCCGAGAGUUGCAAAACUCUUCGAGGAAAGUCCGGACACCACUGGGAUAGCAUGGCAGAUAACGUCUGCGGCUCUCUGAUAUAUCUAAAACAGAGAGUACGGAAAGUGCCACAGAGACGAUACUAUCCUGAGUAAUUGGGAGAAAGGUGAAAAGACUCCCCCAGGGAGUCUCCCCGUCAAACGGGAGUGGUAAACCCUAUGCGGUGCAAGAGGAAUGGUACUCUGCCUAUCUAUGACGAUCUCGGUCGAUAGGCAGAGUAUACCUCGCUAGAGGAUACGGGCGACCGUAUCACGAGAGAGAUGUAUGUCGAGACACAGAAUCCGGCUUACUACCCAGGAGGAGAG
rnacentral:RNase_P_RNA from 1 species